rnacentral:rRNA from 1 species
CAGUAGCCGCGGUAAUACGAAGGGUGCAAGCGUUACUCGGAAUUACUGGGCGUAAAGCGUGCGUAGGUGGUGGUUUAAGUCCGUUGUGAAAGCCCUGGGCUCAACCUGGGAAUUGCAGUGGAUACUGGGUCACUAGAGUGUGGUAGAGGAUAGUGGAAUUUCCGGUGUAGCAGUGAAAUGCGUAGAGAUCGGAAGGAACAUCUGUGGCGAAGGCGACUAUCUGGGCCAACACUGACACUGAGGCACGAAAGCGUGGGGAGCAAACAGGAUUAGAUACCCGUGUAGUCCCUGUCUCUAUACA